AUGGUCAUCUCCUUCAUCCCCAACGAAGAACUCGAGCCAAGCCGCACCGUACGCUCGGGAUCGAGCCGGUUUUUCCGCCACGGCCGCGGCAUCUCGCCGUCGAUCUCCACCACCGGUGCCUCCCGGCCUCGCCGAGCUCGUCCACGGCCUCCCCAGGACCUCGAGACCACUGCUGAUGCCCCUAUGAUCGACUACGACGACGACGACCCCUCCUUCUUGUCUGAGCAACCAGAUGGUGGAUCCUCGGAGCCAGAUGCCACCGCUGAUGGAUGCUACUUCGUGAAGAUCGCCGACGACCAAGAGUAG
rnacentral:rRNA from 1 species